GUUCAGUAAGUCAAGUCUAUUCACUCGAGUCACGUCAAUACUCCCAAAGCUCUUCCAUUUUCCAUGAAAAGCGCGAAAUUUCCCCGGUGAAAGCUCGAGAUAACGAGCAGUGAAAUAAUCGAAUAAUCGGGGAUAUGAGGGAGUAUCUGCUGAUUGGAUUUCACGUAAUUGCCUGUGCGCAAUUUGCAUUUUCUGUUUAUUAUGACUUCACAUUCACUGAUGUACCAGGAAAUGUCGUCAAGAUGCACGGGGCAUACGGUGGGAAAUUCAAAUUCCUCACUGUCUGGGAUGUGAUAGCCCAGACAGUCUUCUUCUUCCUCUGCAUUUUGAAUGAUCUUUAUGGGUCAAACAAAGUUAUACCGAAGAGAACUCCAGCUUUGAGGCGGAUCAAGGAUUAUUUCCACGCCGCGUUCGGCUUUCCUCUUGCCAUGUUCGUAGGCGUCGUGUUCUGGAGCCUGAUGUUCGUUGACCGUGAAUUGGUGCUACCAAAAGCUCUCGAUCCUUAUUUCCCAUGGUGGCUGAAUCAUCUGAUGCAUACGAUGGUUGUGGUUUCAACAGUUAUUGAAAUGCUUGUCGCACCGAGACAAUACCCAAAGAGGUCAUACGGUUUCGGUGGUCUCGCACUUGUCAUGCUGUCGUAUUUAGUCUGGAUUCACUUUAUUUACUACAAGUCCGGCAUUUGGGUGUAUCCAGUGAUGGAGGUCCUCUCAUUGCCCAUGAGGAUUGUCUUCCUGCUCGCUCUUCUCUUCUUCUGCAGUCUUCUGUAUCUCGCUGGCGAGGGUUUUGAUCAUCUUCUCUGGGGUAACGAACAUUCUAAACAACUCAAAAGCCACUCGAAACACAAGUAGCCACGCCAGUUGUCACCGAAGGGUGAUGCCAACGUGUGCUCUAUUGUCAUCGGUGGUGGUUCUGGUGGUGGUACUAUCAAAAGAACAUCCAGUAAGACUAGUAAGAAGAAGAAAACCAAGUAAUUAAGUUCAUUGGCUAGUCCAAGCUUCAAAUCAAUUGUCAAAUCCAUCAAUUUCUUAUUUUUUGUAACCAUUUUUCAUUGUAAUGUUAAACUAAAGAGAUUGUCUAAUGGAAUAAUAAUGUGAACAGUAGAGAAUAUCGGUUAUAUGAUAAAUAAUAUAGAUAUCUAAUAGGAAAUUAGGGGAAUUGUUGCCUUAGAGUAAAAAAUGUGUUCACUGUGUAAUAAAGAGGAGAGUGUGAUGAUUUUCUACUUAAUAGAAGUCUUACUGUGCCUAAGAGAGUGCUGCCAUCAUCUUUUACUGUGACCCAGAGCUGGGGAGAUCAAUUAAUUAAUUAAUUAACAAUAAUCUCCGAUUAUUUAAAAUAGCAAUGUGUCAAUUUUACAAACUAGUGCCCAGCUCUGUAGAACAUUGAAAAUAGUACAAAAAUUAUUUGAUUUUUUA